UGAUACGGUGAAUACGUUCCCGGACCUUUACACACCGCCCGUCAAGCCAUGGAAGCUGGGUGUACCUAAAGUCGGUAACCGCAAGGAACCGCCUAGGGUAAAACUAGUAACUGGGGGCU
rnacentral:rRNA from 1 species